GAUGAACGCUGGCGGCGUGCCUAAUACAUGCAAGUCGAGCGAAUGGAUUAAGAGCUUGCUCUUAUGAAGUUAGCGGCGGACGGGUGAGUAACACGUGGGUAACCUGCCCAUAAGACUGGGAUAACUCCGGGAAACCGGGGCUAAUACCGGAUAACAUUUUGAACCGCAUGGUUCGAAAUUGAAAGGCGGCUUCUGCUGUCACUUAUGGAUGGACCCGCGUCGCAUUAGCUAGUUGGUGAGGUAACGGCUCACCAAGGCAACGAUGCGUAGCCGACCUGAGAGGGUGAUCGGCCACACUGGGACUGAGACGCGGCCCAGACUCCUACGGGAGGCAGCAGUAGGGAAUCUUCCGCAAUGGACGAAAGUCUGACGGAGCAACGCCGCGUGAGUGAUGAAGGCUUUCGGGUCGUAAAACUCUGUUGUUAGGGAAGAACAAGUGCUAGUUGAAUAAGCUGACACCUUGACGGUACCUAACCAGAAAGCCACGGCUAACUACGUGCCAGCCGCCGCCGUAA
rnacentral:rRNA from 1 species